CUAACACAUGCAAGUCGAGCGAAGCGCUGUUCAGAAUCUUCGGAGGAAGAGGACAGUGACUGAGCGGCGGACGGGUGAGUAACGCGUGGGCAACCUGCCUCAUACAGGGGGAUAACAGUUAGAAAUGACUGCUAAUACCGCAUAAGCGCACAGGACCGCAUGGUGUAGUGUGAAAAACUCCGGUGGUAUGAGAUGGACCCGCGUCUGAUUAGGUAGUUGGUGGGGUAAAGGCCUACCAAGCCGACGAUCAGUAGCCGACCUGAGAGGGUGACCGGCCACAUUGGGACUGAGACACGGCCCAAACUCCUACGGGAGGCAGCAGUGGGGAAUAUUGCACAAUGGGGGAAACCCUGAUGCAGCGACGCCGCGUGAAGGAAGAAGUAUUUCGGUAUGUAAACUUCUAUCAGCAGGGAAGAAGAUGACGGUACCUGAGUAAGAAGCACCGGCUAAAUACGUGCCAGCAGCCGCGGUAAUACGUAUGGUGCAAGCGUUAUCCGGAUUUACUGGGUGUAAAGGGAGCAUAGACGGAUAGGCAAGUCUGGAGUGAAAACCCAGGGCUCAACCUUGGGACUGCUUUGGAAACUGCAGAUCUGGAGUGCCGGAGAGGUAAGCGGAAUUCCUAGUGUAGCGGUGAAAUGCGUAGA
rnacentral:rRNA from 1 species